UACAGAGGUCCCGAGCGUUGUUCGGAUUCAUUGGGCGUAAAGGGUGCGUAGGCGGUCUGCUAAGUUUGAUGUGAAAUCCCGGGGCUCAACCCUGGAAUGGCAUUGAAUACUGGUGGACUAGAGUACUGGAGAGGAAACUGGAAUUUACGGUGUAGCAGUGAAAUGCGUAGAGAUCGUAAGGAAGACCAGUGGCGAAGGCGAGUUUCUGGACAGUAACUGACGCUGAGGCACGAAGGCCAGGGGGAGCAAACGGG
rnacentral:rRNA from 1 species